AGCAGCAUGGCGCAGCUGGUAUAGCGCGCAGGGCCCAUAUCUAUGGACACCCUGAGGUCCCUGGAUCGAAACCAGGUGCUGCUA
rnacentral:tRNA from 1 species